rnacentral:tRNA from 1 species
GCUUAUGUAGCUUAUCAAUCAAAGCAAAGCACUGAAAAUGCUUAGAUGGAUGUAUACAUCCCAUAAACA